AACAUUUAGUAUCUCUCUAGGUUACGGUGUGAUCUCUGAAGUACACUGUAACCUGGUAACAUUUAGUAUCUCUCUAGGUUACGGUGUGAUCUCUGAAGUAUACUGUAACCUGGUAACAUUUAGUAUCUCUCUAGGUUACGGUGUGAUCUCUGAAGUAUACUGUAACCUGGUAACAUUUAGUAUCUCUCUAGGUUACGGUGUGAUCUCUGAAGUACACUGUAACCUGGUAACAUUUAGUAUCUCUCUAGGUUACGGUGUGAUCUCUGAAGUAUACUGUAACCUGGUAACAUUUAGUAUCUCUCUAGGUUACGGUGUGAUCUCUGAAGUAUACUGUAACCUGGUAACAUUUAGUAUCUCUCUCGGUUACGGUGUGAUCUCUGAAGUAUACUGUAACCUGGUAACAUUUAGUAUCUCUCUAGGUUACGGUGUGAUCUCUGAAGUAUACUGUAACCUGGUAACAUUUAGUAUCUCUCUCGGUUACGGUGUGAUCUCUGAAGUAUACUGUAACCUGGUAACAUUUAGUAUCUCUCUAGGUUACGGUGUGAUCUCUGAAGUAUACUGUAACCUGGUAACAUUUAGUAUCUCUCUAGGUUACGGUGUGAUCUCUGAAGUACACUGUAACCUGGUAACAUUUAGUAUCUCUCUAGGUUACGGUGUGAUCUCUGAAGUAUACUGUAACCUGGUAACAUUUAGUAUCUCUCUAGGUUACGGUGUGAUCUCUGAAGUACACUGUAACCUGGUAACAUUUAGUAUCUCUCUAGGUUACGGUGUGA